rnacentral:misc_RNA from 1 species
UCUCCGUAGGUGAACCUGCGGAGGGAUCAUUACUGAGUGAGGGCCUUCGGGCUCGACCUCCAACCCUUUGUGAAUCGUACUCGUUGCUUCGGGGGCGACCCUGCCGUUUCGACGGCGAGCGCCCCCGGAGGUCUUCCAAACACUGCAUCUUUGCGUCGGAGUAUUAGUAAAUCUAAUCAAAACUUUCAACAACGGAUCUCUUGGUUCUGGCAUCGAUGAAGAACGCAGC